UACGUAGGGGCAAGCGGUUGCCGGAAUCAUUGGGCGUAAAAAGCGUGUAGGCGGGUUGGUAAGUUCGCUGUGAAAGUCCAGGGCUCAACCCUGGAAAGCCGGUGGAAACUGUCAAGCUUGAGUCCGGAAGAGGCGAGUGGAAUUCCUGGUGUAGCGGUGAAAUGCGCAGAUAUCAGGAGGAACACCAAUGGCGAAGGCAGCUCGCUGGGACGGUACUGACGCUGAGACGCGAAAGCGUGGGGAGCAAACAGG
rnacentral:rRNA from 1 species